CUCCUCGGAGUGUAAACCACUGUUGCCCGGGACGAAUAGCUCGAUUAAUCGAGCCUGACAGUACCGGGUGAGGAAGCACCGGCUAACUCCGUGC
rnacentral:rRNA from 1 species